AUUGAACGCUGGCGGCAGGCCUAACACAUGCAAGUCGAGCGGUAACAUUUCUAGCUUGCUAGAAGAUGACGAGCGGCGGACGGGUGAGUAAUGCUUGGGAACAUGCCUUGAGGUGGGGACAACCGUUGGAAACGACGGCUAAUACCGCAUAAUCUCUACGGAGCAAAGGGGGCUUUAGGCUCUCGCCUUUAGAUUGGCCCAAGUGGGAUUAGCUAGUUGGUGAGGUAAUGGCUCACCAAGGCGACGAUCCCUAGCUGGUUUGAGAGGAUGAUCAGCCACACUGGAACUGAGACACGGUCCAGACUCCUACGGGAGGCAGCAGUGGGGAAUAUUGCACAAUGGGCGCAAGCCUGAUGCAGCCAUGCCGCGUGUGUGAAGAAGGCCUUCGGGUUUGUAAAGCACUUUCAGUCAGGAGGAAAGGUUAGAGUUAAUACCUGCUAGCUGUGACGUUACUGACAGAAGAAGCACC
rnacentral:rRNA from 1 species